AAUAAAAGUCACGGUGCCUGUCCACAUUUACUGACAUUCUUUGCCUAUUUCAAAGUGCAAGGGCUUGGAAUGUUAAGAAGUGUGACUAGACAAGUGACUCUC
rnacentral:pre_miRNA from 1 species